AACGUGCCCUUUAGUACGGAAUAGCCAUUGGAAACGAUGAUUAAUACCGUAUACGCCCUAUGGGGGAAAGAUUUAUCGCUAAAGGAUCGGCCCGCGUUAGAUUAGGUUGUUGGUGGGGUAAUGGCCUACCAAGCCUACGAUCUAUAGCUGGUUUGAGAGGAUGAUCAGCAACACUGGGACUGAGACACGGCCCAGACUUCUACGGAAGGCAGCAGUAGGGAAUCUUGGACAAUGGGCGAAAGCCUGAUCCAGCCAUGCCGCGUGAGUGAUGAAGGCCCUAGGGUUGUAAAACUCUUUCGCCAGGGAAGAUAAUGACGGUACCUGGUAAAGAAACCCCGGCUAACUCCGUGCCAGCAGCCGCGGUAAUACGGAGGGGGUUAGCGU
rnacentral:rRNA from 1 species